CACCUAUUAGAGGCCAGACACAGUUCUGACUCUGGAUACAAGGGAGCAAGAUAGAAAAUGGGUCCUUGCUGCCACCGGUUUUACACCAUAAUACAGGAAACAGACAAUACAAGCCUUGCAGCCGUGACACCGUAUCCCGCCCAGAGCACUGGGCGGAGCUCUUUAUAGACAGUCAACAGCAAUGUAUUGCCCACAGGUGUGUAGUGAGCUAGUCGACCAGGGCCAGGUGAGAAUCCUGACCACAGGAACUCUCAUUUUAUCCGCAUCCCUUCUACCUCCUAAGGGUUUUCUCGCUCCUACAAGUCACCCCACUCAAUGUCUCUUUGAUUCAGCAGCUGGGGGAGGAUCAUAAAUCAUAUCCAUCAACUCCUCUGCUCAAGGACCUCCUUUGGCUCCCCACUACCUUGGAAUAAACCUUCACCUUGGCUUAUAAUGCCUGUAUGGCUGGCCGCUGCUUAAUGCUCUUCACUUCACCUCCUCCUCAAUUCCCUUCAUUUACUGGACCUCAACCACACCAUCUGUCCCUCAGCAAAUCCUGGGGAGGAACUUGGAUUUGUUGAGUACCCCAGAGAAACUUCUCUGUGGCCACAUGAGGACACAGAUAGGCUCACUGCAGCAUCACUUCUGCAAUCAGGAAAAAUUGGAAACAAAGGUCCAUCAAAACAGUCUGACAGAAUAAUUGUAGUUUAUUCAUACCAUGGACAAAAAUGAGCAAAUUUUUUCAUACUUUUUUUUUUUACCAUGAAGCCCAGUAAGAAAUACAUUUUACACUGUGAACCAGAGGUAGUAAAUUGUACUUCCCAAAGAGGCCUCAACAAUAUGUCCCAUUCUAUACGCUCUACAUAAAUCCUUUGCCUGUGA